CCGUGCCCCUUUGUCCCCAUGGCAGGCGGAAGCGGAAGGCCCACCGUGCCCCUUUGUCCCCAUGGCAGGCGGAGGCGGAAGGCUCACCGUGCCAGAGGCCAGGCACCAGCCUUAACCCUCAUUCUGCCAGCACUUCCUCCCUUUCCCUGAGGCAGCACAUCUGGCUUAUUCUCCCUUUCCAUCCCCUGGAGCCUAAGAGGGCAGAUCCUCAUUCCCUGCGGCUACUUCUCCUCUGGGGAAUGUGGGUGCAACCCAGGGCAGGGGGCCUCUCUGCUCACCGCCACCUCCACCCAGGAUCCUAGCCUCCUGCCCUCUGACACAGCUGCUUCCUGCAGAAAAACAAACAUUUGGUCUCUACCUAAGAAGCCAUGUCCCUUGUGCUGUCUCUUGCCUGUCCCACCUGUGCCCUGCCCUCCAGCUUGUAUUUAAGUCUCUGGGCUGCCCCUUGGGGUGCGCCUCACUCCCACGUUCCCCUCUGGUGUCAUGUCAGGCAUUUUGCAAGGAAAAGCCACUUGGGGAAAGAUGGAAAAGGAAAAAAAGAAAAAAUCAAUAAAUUUCCACUGACCCUCUGGUGAGCUGAGGGUUUUUGCAAGGAA